rnacentral:rRNA from 1 species
UACGGAGGGGGCGAGCGUUGUUCGGAUUUACUGGGCGUAAAGGGCGCGUAGGCGGUUAUACAGGUCCGCUGUGAAAACUGGAGGCUUAACCUCCAGACGUCGGUGGAAACCGUAUGACUAGAGUCCGGAAGAGGAGAGUGGAAUUCCUGGUGUAGCGGUGAAAUGCGCAGAUAUCAGGAAGAACACCAAUGGCGAAGGCAGCUCUCUGGGACGGUACUGACGCUGAGACGCGAAAGCCAGGGGAGCGAACGGG